ACUGUUUUUUAUACGAGAUAAAACAAGGUCACAAUUGAAUGAGGCUAUUUUAAGAGAGGAUUAUGGAGAAGCUGCAAAGCUGAAGUUGGCCAUAACUGGUGCUACAAAAAGGAUAUUGUUGGAGCAGCAUUGACUAUUAUGAAUAGAGCUAUAGAGGAAGAGCGAUACAUCGAUGCAACUUUCAUUCGUGAUCAUGUUGGGGCAGGACUGCUACAUGAAGCUAUUCACUCCAUUGAGCUUUAUUCAUUUUGCUAUAUGCAAGGCUAUAACAGUGGUUGCCAAUUCUUAUAUAUUGAUUGAAAAAAAUUCUUCAAAUGUUGAACGCAUACAGAAACUUAAAGCAAUGUUCAGAAAGGGUGCAUGCGACUUAAAUACUGAUGAA